rnacentral:rRNA from 1 species
AUUGAACGCUGGCGGCAGGCCUAACACAUGCAAGUCGAGCGAGCGGCGGACGGGUGAGUAAUGUCUGGGAAACUGCCUGAUGGAGGGGGAUAACUACUGGAAACGGUAGCUAAUACCGCAUACCAUCAGAUGUGCCCAGAUGGGAUUAGCUAGUCGGUGGGGGAAUGGCGCACCAAGGCGACGAUCCCUAGCUGGUCUGAGAGGAUGACCGGCCACACUGGGACUGAGACACGGUCCAGACUCCUACGGGAGGCAGCAGUAGGGAAUAUUGCGCAAUGGGCGAAAGCCUGAUGCAGCCAUGCCGCGUGUGUGAAGAAGGCCUUCGGGUUGUAAAGCACUUUCAGCGGGGAGGCGUUACUCGCAGAAGAAGCACCGGCUAACUCCGUGCCAGCAGCCGCGGUAAUAC